CUGCCUAGUGGUUGGUAUCGCUUCUCGGCCUUUUGGCUAAGAUCAAGUGUAGUAUCUGUUCUUAUCAGUUUAAUAUCUGAUACGUCCCCUACCCGGGGACCAUAUAUUAAAUUGAUUUUUGGAACAGGGAGAUGGAAUAGGGGCUUGCUCCGUCCACUCCACGCAUCGACCUGGUAUUGCAGUACCUCCAGGAACGGUGCACCCCCCCCUUCUCUGUCAAAAGCAAAUAUGAUAUUAAAUAUCGUUCUCACAAGUAUUUAGUUGUUAGUUUGCAAAUGGGCUUAAUCAUGUGCUGUAGAUAGUGUUGUGUAGGUGUUGCUCAAUGUGUGUUGUAACAGGUUCAACUUUUCACAUGAUGUUUAGCUUCUUGAGGAGGAUUAUUUUUAAAGGUUGACUUUUAUUUAAUGUAUUUAAAUGUAUGCAUUCCAGGUAUUUUUCUUAAUCCCCUUUUGUGUAUUUUUAUAGAAUGCUUUAGAAUGUACGUUUGGUACGAUUUUACAGUUAUAAAUACAAUAGGGUUGCAUUACUGGACAAUUCAAUAGGAAAAGAAUUAUCUGUCGACCACUCAAUGUGUGGCACUUUACUUUUAUGAGAUGUUUGAAGAUUGCUGAUCAAAUGGAGAAUGCGCUUCCCUGUGUUUUUUUUCCUUUCUUCAGGUAAACGUUCAGGAGGUGAUGUGAAGCACCAAUGCUACAAGUGUAACACUGAGGGGAAGAAAAGACUGUUCUAGCCAUUGUUUUUUAAAUCUGUCAUGCAUUGGUGGUUCAGUGGUAGAAUUCUCGCCUGCCACGCGGGAGGCCCGGGUUCGAUUCCCGGCCAAUGCAAGCAUCUCUUUUUCUCAUACCUAAAAACAAUCUCAAAUAGUCAAAUAUUUAUUUUACAAUAUGAUCAGAUAAAUUGUUAUGGAAUUAAUUAUGAAGUCUUACAGAUAUUUCAGAAUGAAGCCAAGUUGUGUCUGGUGUGAUUGGUUAGUGUGUCCGACUGCUAACUUUUACUAUUACAAUUUAACAAAAAUAGGAAUUUCAGAACUGCAAAGAUUUACACAGAUCAGAUAAAUUAAGACAGUCUUUUGAAAACAUCUUGCAUUUUAAAAUAAUAAAACUGAUUGAGUUUAUAAUUGUACCUUUUGUUUUUUUUUCUUCUUCCUGAGAUAUUUUGAAAACCCCAAGCUUGAGAGUGAAACGUCCGAUCACAGUCCAGAGAUGAACAGGAAUCAACGGACAUCUUGAUGAUGCUGCACGGUAUCACUGACGGGAACUCCUGAUGCACCUGCAGCUCCUCUCCACUCAUCCAGUCUGGAUUUAAGACCAGCGUUUCCAGCCUUUUCCUACAAGUCUGUCAGCUAACUUCCAUAGAUUCCCUCCUGGAUCAUCCUCGUUUUCUUUGGGACAGCAGUGACUCCUCACCACAUCACUCCUCCUCUUUGACCACGACAGAAUCAGGAGGAACCACUCAUUACAGCAGCCAGUAGCAUAAUAAAAAAUGUAAUAAUAAAUAACAUAAAAUGUUGUGUUUAUUGAAGGAAAAUAUCCCCCAUUUUGAAAUGUUGUUUGGAACAAACAAAGAUUUACAUUACUUUAA